CCUUAACCAUAGGGAUCUGUUUUGCCCUUAGUUGCCUCACCUGGUAGUCCACUAUGGCUACUGGCUACUCCUCGAAAGUCAAGUCUUCAUUCAACUCUACUGUAUCCAGUUGCAGUACAUGGAAAGGAUCAGGUAUGUAUUUCCUGAGUAUGGAAAUGUGAAAUACAGGGUGGACAUGAGAAAGACUGGGUGGUAACUCCAACCUAUAGGCCACUACUCUAACUCUAUCAAUAAUCUCAAAAGGCCCUAUGUAUCGGGGUGUGUGUUUGCCCUUCUUUCCGAAUCUCAUAACUCCCUUCAUCGGACAGACCUUUAAGAAUACAU
rnacentral:misc_RNA from 1 species